UACGUAAGGUGCAAGCGUUGUCCGGAAUUAUUGGGCGUAAAGAGCUCGUAGGCGGUCUGUCGCGUCGAAUGUGAAAACACGAGGCUCAACUUCGUGCCUGCAUUCGAUACGGGCAGACUAGAGUUCGGUAGGGGAGUCUGGAAUUCCUGGUGUAGCGGUGAAAUGCGCAGAUAUCAGGAGGAACACCGGUGGCGAAGGCGGGACUCUGGGCCGAUACUGACGCUGAGGAGCGAAAGCGUGGGGAGCAAACAGG
rnacentral:rRNA from 1 species